rnacentral:rRNA from 1 species
AUUGAACGCUGGCGGCAGGCCUAACACAUGCAAGUCGAGCGGAUGAAGGGAGCUUGCUCCUGGAUUCAGCGGCGGACGGGUGAGUAAUGCCUAGGAAUCUGCCUUGUAGUGGGGGAUAACGUCCGUAAACGGGCGCUAAUAUCGCAUCCGUCCUGAGGGAGAAAGUGGGGGUUCUUCGGACCUCACGCUAUCAGAUGAGCCUAGGUCGGAUUAGCUAGUUGGUGAGGUAAAGGCCUACCAAGGCGACGAUCCGUAACUGGUCUGAGAGGAUGAUCAGUCACACUGGAACUGAGACACGGUCCAGACUCCUACGGGAGGCAGCAGUGGGGAAUCUUGCACAAUGGGCGAAAGCCUGAUGCAGCAACGCCGCGUGAGUGAAGAAGGUCUUCGGAUUGUAAAACACUUUAAGUUGGGAGGAAGGGAAGUAAAAUUAACCCUUGCUGUUUUGACGUUACCAACAGAAAAAGCAACGGCUAACUUCGUG